CAUAAUUAAUGGCAUCCAACACCCUACAAUAUUGAAUCAUUAAGCACUUGCGAGGUAUGAUAUAUAGGAAGAGUACUACCAGUAGGAAAUUAAGAGAGCCAAGCUAAAUGGGUCUAAAAUGGAAAGUGAAUUUGAAAGAGCUGAAGAAGGUAAGCUAUGUAGCAGCGCCAAUGGUGGCAGUGACGGUGUUACAGUAUCUCUUGCAGGUUGUUUCAAUGGUGAUGGUUGGCCACCUUGACGAGCUCUCCCUCUCUGGUGUCUCUAUUGCCACAUCUUUCACCAGUGUUACUGGCUUCAGCUUUCUUUUUGGAAUGGCUGGUGCCUUAGAGACUGUAUGUGGCCAAGCAUAUGGAGCAGAGCAGUACCAGAAGCUUGGAACUUAUACUUACAGUGCAAUCAUUUCUUUGAUUCUGGUCUGCAUUCCUAUAUCCCUUCUGUGGAUGUUCACAGACAAGCUACUAAUCUUAAUAGGCCAAGACCCUUCAAUCUCACAUGCGGCUCGCAAAUACUCAGUUUGGCUCAUUCCUAACCUGGUUUCAUAUGCUGUGCUUCAAGCAUUGAUUCGUUACUUCCAAACUCAGAGCUUGAUCAUUCCAAUGCUCUUUAGCUCAUUUGUUACUCUGUGUUUCCAUAUACCAUUUUGUUGGGUUCUUGUGUUCAAAACAGAAUUGGGAUGUGUAGGAGCUGCAUUAGCCAUUAGUGUAUCAUAUUGGUUGAAUGUUUUCUUGCUUGGAUUGUACAUGAAGUAUUCUUCAAUGUGCAAGGAUACUCGAUCUGUAAUCUCCAUGGAUAUGUUCUUGAGCAUGAAGGAGUUCUUUCGUUUUGCUCUUCCUUCUGCAGUAAUGACUUGCCUAGAAUGGUGGUCCUAUGAGGUAAUCAUUUUACUAUCUGGCCUUUUACCAAAUCCAAAAGUAGAAAUUUCAGUCCUUUCUAUAUGCUUUACAAUCACUUAUCUGCACUACUUCAUUCCAUAUGGAUUUGGUGCCACUGCAAGCACUCGGGUUUCAAACGAAUUGGGAGCUGGAAAUCCACAAGCAGCUAAAGUAGCAAUUUCAGCCAUAAUGAUUCUUGCACUUGCAGAGGUGGUUAUUAUAAGCAUGGCUCUCUUCUUUUGUCGCCACAUUUUAGGAUAUGCAAUUAGCAAUGAGAAGGAAAUUGUGGAUCAUGUUGCAGAUAUGGCUCCUUUCCUUUGUUUGUCAAUUAUCAUGGAUGGCUCUCAAGCAGUGCUUUCAGGGGUUGCUAGGGGAAGUGGGUGGCAGCAUAUAGGAGCCUAUGUGAAUCUUGGUGCCUAUUAUCUGGUUGGGACUCCAGUAGGUGCUGUAUUGGCUUUUGUUGCACACUUGAAAGGGAAGGGCCUUUUGAUUGGAUUGGCCACUGGAUCAUUUGUACAAGCAACUCUACUUGCUCUCAUGACCAUUUUCACAAACUGGGAAAAACAGGCAAUUAAAGCAAGAGAGAGGAUAUUUGAAGGGGAUUCGUAGAGUGGAUAUAUAUUCCGGAAAAUAGGGGUGAGGAACUGAGGAUGCCCCAAACAAAUCAGCUAUGCUAUAGCUUCGGCUUGACAAGAUCAUGAAAUGGUUGCAGUGCAGCAUGAUUUUGGUGAAGUCUCAGAACAUGGAAGUGUGGAAGGAAACUUGGAAAGGUCGAAGAAUUGAGAAGCAUUGUUGAUACAAAGUACACGGGUCGUGUAAGCACAACCACAGACCCGUGUAACAUUCUGCUAGAAGAAAUCCAGAAAACCGAGGAAAAAACAAAGUACACGGGCCGUGUAACUUGACCCGUGUAAAUCCUGGAGACCAGUGUAAACUUCUGUGCCAAUGCAAGACAUACCCAUUCAGCUCCAGUAAGUUACACGGCCCUGGGCCGUGUAGUGAUACACGAGCCGUGUAUCCGUCGACAAUCAGUUUCCUGAUUUUGCUCCAGUUGCAGUUUUUGACAAAGACUCUAAAAACCUAACCCUAGACCAUUUAUUAUAAAUAGAAGAGGCAGCAGCCGACACAAGGGACCAUGGAGCAGCCUCUCGAAAAGAGAGAAUUAGACUUUCGUUCUCUAUUCACAUUCUAGAUUUCUUCAAUUUUCUUCUUUAAUUUUUCUGUAAGCCAUGAACAUGAGUGGCUAAGUUUUUAGUUCAGUUCAAGGGAUUCAAGUUCUUUUGCUUGAUUUGUGAGACCAGGUUAUUAAUUUAAUU